UGGGGAAUAUUGCACAAUGGGCGCAAGCCUGAUGCAGCCAUGCCGCGUGUGUGAAGAAGGCCUUCGGGUUGUAAAGCACUUUCAGCGAGGAGGAAGGCGUUAAGGUUAAUAACCUUGGCGAUUGACGUUACUCGCAGAAGAAGCACCGGCUAACUCCGUGCCAGCAGCCGCGGUAAUACGGAGGGUGCAAGCGUUAAUCGGAAUUACUGGGCGUAAAGCGCACGCAGGCGGUUUGUUAAGUCAGAUGUGAAAUCCCCGAGCUUAACUUGGGAACUGCAUUUGAAACUGGCAAGCUAGAGUCUUGUAGAGGGGGGUAGAAUUCCAGGUGUAGCGGUGAAAUGCGUAGAGAUCUGGAGGAAUACCGGUGGCGAAGGCGGCCCCCUGGACAAAGACUGACGCUCAGGUGCGAAA
rnacentral:rRNA from 1 species